rnacentral:miRNA from 1 species
ACGCGCACACACACACGCGCGCGCACACACACACACACACACACACAGUCUGUCUGUGUGCGUGUGUGUAUGUGUGUGUGU